CGCUGGGUCCCGCCUCAAGAGCUGGCGUGUAAGGGCAUGUUCUUGGGUGUAGUUGUAAGCCGGGGACACGGAUGGGAGGUUGAUACUAGGACAGGUUAAGUGUAAGCCUGAAACCAGGGAAAAUACGAGCGGUAAUGAAAGCUCUUAAACGCUCAGAAACCGUUGUCUUGUCAGAUCUGUCGAACUGAAAGUAAUGAAGGUGAUAGCGCCACUCUUAAAUAACUAAGAAGUGGUAAGCAGCAAUUCUAAGCCCCAAAGCGGAGGUGGAAUUUAGGAACUUGUUAAAAAUAUAGACUCUGAAAUGGAAAAGAUGCAAAUAACCCUAACGCUUAAGCCCAUCUUACUUAAAUUUCGAGCAAUACCUCCAUGGUUAAGAAUGUCUCUUGCAGCAGAGUCAAGAAGGCAGCCAUGCAAAUUUUGAAACUAAAAACUGGUGGCUCUAGAAGCAAUAGCCAGAAAAAGCACCAACCAACAAGCAAAUUUUUUUAAAUGGCUUUAAGUUCCCUUCAAAAUCAGUUUCAAAAAAUAGAAGGCUAUGAUACAAGAUGAGAAGAUCUGGUGAAACUUUGAUUAUAUUAU
rnacentral:lncRNA from 1 species